UAUACCCACACUGGGUAAUUUGAUAGAAACAUGCUGGGUUAUAUGUUUACCCAAUUAUUGGUGUGUGGUCGUUUGACCAUAUACUGGGUUAUGCUAACCAUUGAUGAGUUAUUAUACCCAAUCACUGGGUUUAUCAUAACAUUUGAAAUCAGAGCCAGCCAACGGACUUUUUCCUGGAAGUCAACUGAACUGGGGAAAACCUUCAACAACAAGGAAAGGUUAACCAGAGAUCGCACUGGCGGUCCGGAUCCUUUGUAAGCUGAUCACGUUAUGUCCGUCUGUGCUAAGACUGGAAGUGACUGAAAGACAACACAGAUGCAUUCUUUCAGCAAGGUGACCAAAAUCUGUUUCACUCUGCAGCACUUGUCCUGGAGGUUUUGUAGACAGAACUGGAAGUGACUGAAAGAAAACGGAGACUUAUUCUUUCAGCAAGGUGACCAAAAUCUGUUUCACUCUGCAGCACUUGUCCUGGAGGUUUUGUAGACAGAACUGGAAGUGACUGAAAGAAAACGGAGACUCAUUCUUUCAGCAAGGUGACCAAAAUCUGUUUCGCUCUGCAGCACUUGUCCCGGAGGCUUUGUAGACAGAGUGACUGAACGAAAACCUAAAUGAGAAAUAGGAACAACAUGUUUAGAAGAUGAAGUGUGGAAGCCUCGGCAGCUUCAGUAUGCUGUGUACCUCAUCUUGAACUCUUUCACAUGGUGAUUCCUACACAUAAUUGCACACUGUAUGUGUUUAGCUAUCCUAUCUUACAAAGACUUAUGCCAACACUGUAUCUGCCUUUCCUCAAUACAAUGUAAAAAGUGCUGCAUAGACCAUUUAGAGAAGCAAUGUCUCGUGACUUUUACUGUAUGUUUAUUUUUGAGCAAGUGUCAUUUGUUUUGUAAAAUAUCUUUGCAGAUUUUCUUUUCAUGCCUGGACACUUUUUUUUAUUUCAAAUAUUGCUUUGAAUUGAUGCAAAUUGAAGAACGUGAAUCCCUGGUAAUAAAGGAAGGUUGACCAGA